GGAGAAGUGGCAGAGUGGUCGAAUGUACCUGACUCGAAAUCAGGCGUACCGCAAGGUACCGAGGGUUCGAAUCCCUCCUUCUCCUCCA
rnacentral:tRNA from 3 species